AGUAUUUUUAUCUCAAUUAGAAGCUAUAUGCAAUGUGGGUUUCGUUUGUUCAUUUUUUUAAUGGGGUUUCCUCUGAUACAGCCCAGUAACGAUAUAUGUAACAAUGUUAUAGUUACCAUUAGCCACUUUUUCAUACCCAAAAUUUGAACAAAAAAUAAGCAGAUUAUACUGGAUUUUUAUUUUAUUUUUUCUUAUAUUGCAUCAUUUUUGUUUUAUUGUAAUGUGACAGAGUUCUGUUGUUGUGAAGGAGAAAAGUGUCUCAGUUGUUCUUUUGGCUGGAGGGAAGGGCAAGAGAAUUGGUGUAAAUUGAAUUUUUCUUCCUGUAUUACAUGAAGAAAAGGGUGUUUUAGCAUUUGGUGAGCAUGCCAAAGCAGUAUCUACCACUCUUGGGCCAUCCAAUUGCAUUGUAUAGUUUCUAUACUUUCUCACACAUGCCUGAAUUGAAGGAAAUUGUUGUAGUUUGUGAUCCAUCCUACCAAGAUAUCUUUGAAGACUCCAAAGAAAAAAAUCUGUGUAGACCUUAAAUUUUCACUGCCUGAGAAUGAGAGGCAGGAUUCUGUAUACACUAGAUUUCAGGCAACUGAUUCAAAUUCUGAGCUUGUUUGCAUCCAUGACUCUGCAAGACCUUUGGUAACAUCUGGGGAUGUAGCAAAGGUAUGGAUAGGAAAACUUCGUUGUACAAGUGCUUGAGUUGUUUUGUGAUAUUUUUCAAUUUUUAUAUGCUAAAUUAAUUGUCAAUAAUCAAUGUCCGAUUAAAUUUCAAGUAAUAAAGUGGAAAAGGGAAAAAAGAUGGUUAUGUUGGACUGGACAAUGAGUGUUAUUGCGUUCAUCAACUGCUCAAGGAUUGUUGGCUUAUUGGAGCAGCUGUACUUGGUGUUCCUUCCAAAGCUACAAUUAAGGAGGUUACAAUCCCGGAUGAUUUGUUACUUGCAGAGAGAAUAUUGAAUAUGUGAUCGCCUGCAAAUAAAGUCUAGUCCAUUCUCUUUAUCUUUAUGUGUUCACUCUUCCAUUCAGUUUGAACUACACAUCAGAAUAAUUUUGAAUCUGUAAGCCUUGUAUUAGGAUAAAUGUGCAAAGUUCACCCUUGGCAAGCAUAGAGAAAAGACGUAACGAGACAAUGAAAGGAAGGGCAAUAAAAGAGAAAAGAUUCACUUUCUGCAA